AGCAACAAGAGGAGGAGCUGAUGCAACCACCACUGUCUCUGCUGGUGAGAACACAUCUGGAACCACAGGCACACCUGGAUCAUCAUCUGGAGCAACCCCUGAAGCUCACAGUGGUAGCACCCCUGGAGAGGCAGAGACUGGAGCCACUGGUUCAGGUACCACUGAACCACCAGUUGACACAACAACCAGAGCCUCAAACAAUGAAGUGACAUCACCUGAAGGGAACUCAGGCUCUACUGGAACUUCAAUUCCCAUCACCUCCACAGCUGGAAGUGCAGGCACCACAGGAGGACUGAGCCCCAGCAU